rnacentral:rRNA from 1 species
CCUACGGGAGGCAGCAGUGAGGAAUAUUGGUCAAUGGGCGGGAGCCUGAACCAGCCAAGUCGCGUGAGGGAAGACGGUCCUACGGAUUUUAAACCUCUUUUGCCGGGGAGCAACGGGGUCCUUGCGAGGGCCCAAUGAGAGUACCCGGAGAAAAAGCAUCGGCUAACUGCGUGCCAGCAGCCGCGGUAAUACGGGGGAUGCGAGCGUUAUCCGGAUUUAUUGGGUGAAAGGGGUGCGUAGGCGGGCUGAAAAGUCAGCGGUAAAAGGUCGGGGCUCAACCCCGGGCUGCCGUUGAAACUGGCGGACUUGAGUGGGCGAGAAGUAUGCGGAAUGCGUGGUGUAGCGGUGAAAUGCAUAGAUAUCACGAAGAACUCC